UACGUAGGGGGCAAGCGUUGUCCGGAUUUAUUGGGCGUAAAGGGCGUGUAGGCGGUUUGGUAAGUCCGUUGUGAAAACUCGAGGCUCAACCUCGAGACGCCGAUGGAAACCAUCAGACUAGAGUCCGGAAGAGGAGAGUGGAAUUCCUGGUGUAGCGGUGAAAUGCGCAGAUAUCAGGAGGAACACCAAUGGCGAAGGCAGCUCGCUGGGACGGUACUGACGCUGAGGCGCGAAAGCGUGGGGAGCAAACAGG
rnacentral:rRNA from 1 species